rnacentral:rRNA from 1 species
CCUACGGGUGGCAGCAGUGAGGAAUAUUGGUCAAUGGACGAGAGUCUGAACCAGCCAAGUAGCGUGAAGGAUGACUGCCCUAUGGGUUGUAAACUUCUUUUAUAUGGGAAUAAAAUGUUCCACGUGUGGGAUUUUGUAUGUACCAUAUGAAUAAGGAUCGGCUAACUCCGUGCCAGCAGCCGCGGUAAUACGGAGGAUCCGAGCGUUAUCCGGAUUUAUUGGGUUUAAAGGGAGCGUAGGUGGAUUGUUAAGUCAGUUGUGAAAGUUUGCGGCUCAACCGUAAAAUUGCAGUUGAAACUGGCAGUCUUGAGUACAGUAGAGGUGGGCAGAAUUCGUGGUGUAGCGGUGAAAUGCUUAGAUAUCACGAAGAACUCUGAUGGCGAAGGCAGUUCACUGGACUGCAACUGACACUGAGGCUCGAAAGUGUGGGUAUCAAACAGGAUUAGAUACCCGGGUAGUC